rnacentral:sRNA from 1 species
GCCUGGCAUGGUGGUGCAUGCCUGUUAUUCCAGCUUCUGGGAGGCUGAGGCAGGAGUUUGAGGCCAAGGCUGGGGGUAUAGCUCAGUUGGUAGAGUGCUUUCCUUGGCCCUGGGUUCAAUUUCUACCAC